rnacentral:lncRNA from 12 species
CACCCAGCUUCCCUUCCAGCUGCAAAGUGCAGCUUCAAUUUCAUUUCCUCUACAACUCUCCUUAUAUAAUUGAAUGGCAAUGACAUACAUAUUUCAAACAAGCUAACAAAGGCAGGAACUUUUACCUGUCAUCACCAAAAAGAUGACCCACAGGAGAAAUUACUAUUGUAUAUUUGUUUGUCUACCAUGAGGACAGAGGCUACAUUUUUCUCCCAACUCUACAAAGAAGGUAUUACAGCACCAAAGAACCCUUGACACCAGAUGAACUUCUUCAAGUUACUGCUUCACAUCACAAAAAAUUCCUGUUUCCUGGGUAUGGAAUAAAGAUGACCACAGACUCCCUAAUAGAGAGAGAGCAGUUGAAAGGAAAACCCAUCAGCAAUCUGAUUAUUAACUAUAAGCAAGAGAGCGUCAAAUGUCACUGGAAAUAAAGGCAUGAAAGGGUACCUAUUGGGUGUAAAUCUUCAGUCACAGUUCUCCAGAAGUUUUUGGGAUAUACUAUCAAAGUUUUACCAUACUAAAAAAUCCUUGUAAGCAUUAUUACCCAAAAGCCAAUGAUUAUGGAGUUUAAAAACAAAAAUGAGCACAAUCCCCUACAACUCUGAAAUGGAAAAGUCAUUGCAGAGGAGAGUAAAUUUGAUAAUGGAAAUAUAUGCACCACCUCCCCCCAAAAAAAGGCAAUUGAAGCAUCAACAGAAGAAGUGCAUGUGAAGGGGAUGAAGAGACAUGAAUAUUACAAAAUGGACAAUCUUGCCAAAUUAAAUGUAAUAUUCUGGAAUAUCCCUUCUCUAUUAACUCUAAUUCUGUAAACCUUCAAGAAGGAAAUGGAACUGUAAGAGAAAACUCCAAUUAAGUCUCUGAGCCUAAGGCAUAUUCAAGCCUUAGUGAUCCAACUAGAAUGGCUUUAUAACUCAAAGGUAAUCUGAUGAUGUCAAUCAGUGCUUUCUCAUCAUCCUCAUUUUUCCUCCAUCAAAAAAGGAAAGAAAAAUGGCUUAAUGUGACACAGCUCUAAAAAAGAAAUAUGUAACACAGAAGAAGUGCUAUUUCCCCUUGACACACUGUUGUUAACCAACAAAGGGCCCACUGGAGAGGCAGGUGUUCCCUGGGGAAUAAGAUAAAUCAGUGAGGGCAUUCUGAGAUUUAAACAGGAGGAUGACUGAAUCUAGAAGUAUGUGUUUUUGUUUUUGUUUUUGUUUAUUCUUUCUUUUAUUCACUGAAGAGACUCAGAAAGAAUGGUAUUCCUUCAAAUCUUUCCUAUUCAGCUUUCAAUGAAAGUAAGAGAUAUCUUGGUUCAUUCUUGUUUCCUACAGUCCUUUGGGAGAGAGAAAUGUGUAUGUAGAGGAUCAAACUUUUAUGAAGUCACUCCGUGAAGCAUCAGACAGAUCUUUGAAAAGAUGGAAAGAUAACCCUUUUAGCUGAGUUUUUUAAUGAAUAUGCUUCAUCUCAAUCCAGGCUGCAGAGUCAGUCCAGAAUAAAAGCACACCCAGUCUUCUUCA